GUCUAUGGCCAUGCUACCUUGAACAAGCCCAAUCCCAUCUGAUCUUGGAAGCUAAGCAGGGACUGUCCUGAUUAGUACUUUGAUGGGAGACCAACUAGGAAGACCAGGUGCCAUAGGCG
rnacentral:rRNA from 1 species